AGCCCUGUGGCUCAGUUGGUAGAGCAUGGUGUUUGCAACGCCAGCAUGGUGUGUGCAACGCCAGGGUUGUGGGUUCGAUUCCCACGGGGGGCCA
rnacentral:tRNA from 1 species